UCCUUAUUGAGAGCGAGUGAGGGAAUGGGCCCUAUGAACUCGCGGCAACAUCGUGUAUAACGGUUGUGCCAAUUCCCACAGGCAAGGCCUGAAAGAUGAGGA
rfam:Mogibacterium sp. CM50 ctg120007703372, whole genome shotgun sequence.